GCUUUCUAGCUAAGUUGGCAGAGCGUCAGUCUCAUAAUCUGAAGGUCGACAGUUCGAACCUGCCCAGAGAGCA
rnacentral:tRNA from 1 species